GACGAACGCUGGCGGCGCGCUUAACACAUGCAAGUCGAACGAGAACCAGCCCUUCGGGGCUGGGGAAAGUGGCGAACGGGUGAGUAACACGUGGGUAAUCUGCCCUCGGCACCGGAAUAGCCCGGGGAAACCCGGAUCAAUGCCGGAUAGCCUCUCCGGUCCUUGGACUGGUGAGAAAAGGUAGCUUCGGCCUCUGGCCGAGGAGGAGCCCGCGGCGGAUUAGCUUGUUGGUGAGGUAACGGCUCACCAAGGCGACGAUCCGUAGCUGGUCUGAGAGGACGAUCAGCCACACUGGGACUGAGACACGGCCCAGACUCCUACGGGAGGCAGCAGUGGGGAAUCUUGCGCAAUGGGCGAAAGCCUGACGCAGCGACGCCGCGUGCGGGAAGAAGGCCUUCGGGUUGUAAACCGCUUUCAGGAGGGACGAAGCCACUCGGGUUAAUAGCCCAGAGGGUGACGGUACCUCCAGAAGAAGCCCCGGCUAACUACGUGCCAGCCGCCGCCGUAACAC
rnacentral:rRNA from 1 species